rnacentral:rRNA from 1 species
UACAGAGGGUGCAAGCGUUAAUCGGAAUUACUGGGCGUAAAGCGUGCGUAGACGGUUGCGUAAGUCAGAUGUGAAAGCCCCGGGCUCAACCUGGGAAUUGCAUUUGAGACUGCGUAGCUAGGGUGCGGAAGAGGGAAGCGGAAUUUCCGGUGUAGCGGUGAAAUGCGUAGAUAUCGGAAGGAACACCAGUGGCGAAGGCGGGUCUCUGGACAGUUCCUGACACUGAGGCACGAAGGCCAGGGGAGCAAACGGG